rnacentral:rRNA from 1 species
UACAGAGGGUGCGAGCGUUGUUCGGAAUUAUUGGGCGUAAAGAGCUCGUAGGCGGCCGGUUGCGUCUGCUGUGAAAUCCCGGGGCUUAACCCCGGGCGUGCAGUGGAUACGGGCUGGCUGGAGGCAGGCAGGGGAGAAUGGAAUUCCCGGUGUAGCGGUGAAAUGCGCAGAUAUCGGGAGGAACACCGGUGGCGAAGGCGGUUCUCUGGGCCUGUGCUGACGCUGAGGAGCGAAAGCGUGGGGAGCGAACAGG